CUCAGAGAUUUAUCUGCAUCCAUUCUCUUAGAAGGAAGAUGUCACAGACUUUUUUAAAUAAAAAAUUCCUCCUGAGUACUGAACAUGUAUUCAAGUCUAUUGAAGGGUAUUUCUGAGUAAGAUGAAAGUUCUCCUUCUGAUCACUGCCAUCUUGGCAGUAACUGCUGGUUUCCCAGUCUCUGAAGACCAGAAAAGAGAAGAACACAGCGGCAAUGGGAGCAAUGAAUCAACUUCACAGUUCACCCCUUACCAAUAUCCAUUUGGCCCAUAUCCACCAUUCCUGUAUCCAAGAUAUCCAUGGUUUAGGUAUUAUUAUCUUCCUUUUCCAAUACCUCUGUCUGGCCCUGCAACUCCUCCUCUUAAUGGACAGUAAACAAGAAAGUAAAGUUCCACUACAAUUUAAGAUGAAAUAGGUGGUCACUGUAAAAUGGAAUGUGAGCCACUUCCUUGAAGAAUCAAUAUUCCUGCUAAUAAGAUAAAAAUAAAUGUAACUGAAAUAGCA